CCAUCCACCCAAUAAACCACGAACAGCCGUUCAUAUUUUGGUCUCGGCUCUGCGUUUAUUGUUGGAAUCUGC
rnacentral:pre_miRNA from 1 species